rnacentral:rRNA from 1 species
CCUACGGGAGACUGCAGUGAGGAAUAUUGGUCAAUGGGCGAGAGUCUGAACCAGCCAAGUCGCGUGAAGGAUGAAGGAUCUAUGGUUUGUAAACUUCUUUUAUAUGGGAAUAAAGUGAGGAACGUGUUCCUUUUUGUAUGUACCAUAUGAAUAAGCAUCGGCUAACUCCGUGCCAGCAGCCGCGGUAAUACGGAGGAUGCGAGCGUUAUCCGGAUUUAUUGGGUUUAAAGGGUGCGUAGGUGGUUAAUUAAGUCAGCGGUGAAAGUUUGUGGCUCAACCAUAAAAUUGCCGUUGAAACUGGUUGACUUGAGUGUAUUUGAGGUAGGCGGAAUGCGUGGUGUAGCGGUGAAAUGCAUAGAUAUCACGCAGAACUCCGAUUGCGAAGGCAGCUUACUAAACUAUAACUGACACUGAAGCACGAAAGCGUGGGGAUCAAACAGGAUUAGAUACCCCAGUAGUC